AUAUUGACACGGGACUGCAUUAAUAAAUAUAUUCAAAAGGAAAAAAAUAUAUAACAUACAAACAAAUUUAGUUUUAACGAUCUUUAUAACUUUAAGAAAACCAGGGACAUAACUAACUUCUUGCCAUUGUAACGAUAUUAUGAACUGAAUUUUUUUUGUGCAACGUGUUUGCAUUUUCACUUAUACAUAAUACAUAAGAUGAAACUCAAAUUUAAAAAACGAAUGAACCGAUCAUCCCUAUUUAAAUAUAGAGUAGAUAACUAACGAAAUCGACAUGGUAAACACUUCUCAUGUCAUUAAUAUUAUACUGAAGCAGAGAUUAGCGAUUAUCUGUGGUUGUAAUAUGAAAUGCAUAAAGACAAAUUAACCAAUCAGUUAGCCCAGCUCGUCUCGUGUUGUUUUUAUAUAGCGCUUAGACAAUUCAUAUAAAUAUCACAGCCUAUACAAUGUUUAAACUUAAUUCAGUACUCACUUUGGCUUUCAACGUUUCGUUGGAAUUAGUAUUCAGUUAAUGCCGAAUAAAGGCACGCACAAAUUAUAUAAUUUUGAUAUAUUAUAUUAUAAAGCGAGUUCGUAUUGCUUCAUAGUAGAAAGUAAUUUAAAGAAAAAUUUAAAAAAAAUAUUUUUUAUUUCGUUUCGUUUUCAUUUCUUUUACCUUAUCGAGAAAAGUAACUAAUUGCGGAAAAAUUAUCGUGCGAUGAAAUCUUUCGUGGCUAAGUUAGGUUUGCUUGUGUUUUGUGCAUGCAUUAUUAAUGGAGAAAAGGAUAAUCCGGCAACCGAAACUGAAAUAAAAAUUUACAAACGCCUCAUACCGGCUGAUGUGCUCAGAGCUUUUUCGGCAUACCACUACCAUGGAAGCUAAACCAAUUUUGAAAAUAAUUUUGUAUUUUUACAAAGUUUCAAUUUAACAAUUAUUGAUAAUAAUAUUUAAUUUUUUUUGAGUAAUUUUCACCUUCUAUAUCUUAAGUGCGGUUAAAGCCACUCAAUUUUAAGACCACAUUUUCAUUGCGAUUAGUAUUUCAACAAACUAACGACGGUGGAAUAACCAAAUUUCUGAAGACUUUGAUUCGCAAUAAGCGCAAAUGAAUUCUUCUUAGAAAGGGAUAAAACAUUUGCCUCUUUAGUUGCAAAUUAGAAAAGAUUGUUGUGCCGAGGGUCAUCCAUUUUGUGGUUACGGAUGUAAACGUAAAUAAAACACACUUCUGAUUGAGAUUUUUUUUUAUAACAUACAGUUCGCACGUUGCGAUUUGUUGUGGACCAUACAAUACAUGCAUAUUGUACAGAAAUUCCUAAAACUUAUUACGAAAACAAUGAACUCACGAUCAUCAAUUGUGAAAUUGCUUUUAUAAUUUAUAAUAAACACUGAACUGUAAAAGAUAUCAACUAGAAUUUUCUUUUCUUUUAGAUAUUUGUUCAUGCGAUCUUUGUUUAAAAAAACUAAAUUUUUGAACACCAAAGUUUGCGACUUUUACGCGUAAAUGUUGGCCUUAUUUCACCAAUAACACAAAUAAUCUGAAUACCAUGGGUAAGGUCGCAGAGCGUUCGGCUUAUUGGGAAGUAAAAAGUUCAACAGAGUUAUAACUAUAUCGUAUGGUCUUUUGGAGAUUACGUGAUUAUUGAACUUUUCUCCUAAUAGAUUGAUUUUAUCGCACUAUGUGUAACAUUUUGUUGAAGCCACAUUUCGGCGAAGUCAAACGCAUUUAAUGUUUGCCACGAAAAAACAAAUAUAAUAUUUUACUAGUGUUCUGCACUGAGGAUGAUGCCAUUCUCAUGCAUGGGUAUGAAAUUUUUACCCUAUAAGCUAAACCCUGAAAUUAUUUUUGUACACGAAAAAAACUUUAAGGAACAUUAGAUGUGUUUUCUUUAGAUCAACAAUACAACAAUCCUUAUUUAUGAAGUCAUUUAAUCAAAUAUGAACUUCAUCCCACAUGCAUAGAACAUGAGUUCAUUGCUUCCGUAAUAAAUUUAACAAUUUCUAUACGUUGUUCAACUAUAUGUGUAGUGUAUUUCAUAAAUAAUGGUAAAGUGCGACAAAAUAUAUUGACACAAAAUUUAAUCCAAAUCUCAAUUUGAUUUGAUUGGAUUUGAUUAAAAUACGUUUGGUUGGUACAUCUAUUUUAGAAUGAGCUGAAGCUCUUAUCAAAAUUCCAAUUAUCACUUGCUUGCAAGUUGAUAAAGAUAGAGUCCUAAACAAUUCCCACGCCACUCUUUUCUUAUUCAUGUGUAAUUUGUACAUAUUGAACGUUAUACGUUAAUACGUUCGUAAGGUUAAAAAAAUUAUUCACCAAUGGAUUUGUGGCAAGGUACAUACGAAACGAAGAAUUUCGAAGAAAUAUGGCAUUAGCUCUUGUUCAUUAAUACAUCCAAAAAUUAAAAUUGUUUUUUAGUUGUAUUAAGAUUACAUUGUUUUUUAAAGUAGAUUGGACAAGUUAAACAAAUUUGUACUAUCAAUGCAAAACUAGUUUUGCAACAUAUGGAUGCCAGAGAUGAAAAUGUAAGCACCUCAUUGGUCUGCAAAAAUACUAGUUUUGUUUAAUUAGCGUUUACAAAACCUCGUGUGUUAGCAAAAUCGAAAUUAGAUUUCCGCAUCAUGGACAUGGUGCAUAACAAAAGGAAUUAAAAAGAGUACAUAAUAAAGCAACAUUUUAUAUCUACCACCGAAAUAGGCAUAAAGUGUGAACAUUCUUAAUCUUUAUGGGUUAUGCCGGUCUCUUCUUCUCCUCCUAUAUGCGCUUGCCUGUCGUGAAUGGUUGGAGCACUCAAUACUGCAGAAAUUAGGAACAAAAGAAUUUCGCUCUCUAUAUUUUUAAGUCAAUUUUCAAAAGGGGUUUGAGCGAUGAUGGCUUAAACAAAGCUGUAAUUCACAAUAUUACAAUUAUUGAUCUACCAAUGCUAACAAAUUUUAUUCAUUUAAAGUGGUGGAUAUCAAAGAUUCCUUGUAUGUAAUUGUAAAUUGCUUACUUCCUUUUUUGUUCUGAACUUUAUAUGCGAAUUUUUAUUUAUUUGCUAAACGUGUUGUAGUAAAAUCAGUCAAUUAUUUCCUAAAUUAUAAGUCCAAAAAAGUUGACUGAACGUAACGCUAACAUUAAUAACAAGCGCAACAACCUCAAAGUGCAACAUACUAUGAAGUAACCUUGUUUUUCAUUAGUAAACCACUUUCGCCACCAAAGUAAAAUAAAGCAAAGUAUAUUAAAAUAAAGCAGACAAAAAUUCGGGGCGAUGAGGUUUUUUUUUUUUCGCAAUGCUGCAGCUGGUUUUGACUUCAAACCUCCUGAUUACAAACGCGUAAAAUAAGCAUACAAUGAGGUGAUACCAUUAUGCAACUCCUCAUUAUUGUUCUGUACCUCAUGAGUAAAUUAUUUUCAAACGAGACUGAUAAAAUCAGAGUUAACCAAGAUAAGCAACACCUUAGAUUUUAUAUCAUACAAAAUUAUAAAUUUGCAAUACGGAGUACUUUGGUUUGACAAUUUUUUCUUACUAGAUUUUUUUGAAAGCAAGCAAAACGUGUAUUACACCACCAUACACACAUUAUUAACAAUUAUAGAUUAAUGAUGAAAUACGAACUGCAAUGACUGAAAAGUGUUGCUAAGCCAAAAUGCUACUCCUUAUAUAUUCGAUAAUAAACGUUGUUUUAACUUACACAGAGAAAUUCCUACAAAUGCAGCUGGAUCAUUCUUUUUCUUAAUUAGAAACUGGUCAAAGGGAUUUCGAGAUCUACACAUUGCAAAAACAGUUUCUUAAGAAGUAUAUUUAAAUAUUCUUACCUUCUCCAGGCUAUCGUUGCUGCGUGGGACAAAUUGGUGUUAACCGGAACUUCUCUUGGGACCCACGUUGCAUUAAUAUUUUAUGAAAACAGAUUGUUGCUCCCCCUUUUAUUAAGAAAUGCAGACUUAUUUCAGCCGGCAGAGUAGAAAUAUCUUCCAGACAUAAAAACUUCGGAUGAAUAAGAAACGGAAAAGGAGCCAUUUUAGAAUUCUAACUAUUCGGCUGAAAAGAAUAAAAAGGUGUUCCAACAUAAAAGAGAACUAAGCCAGUGGAUUUUUAGUGUUAAACCUAUCUUUAAUAUGUAUUAAUUUGGAAUAAUAAUUUUCUUUAAACUUGCUGUUUACAGUUCAAGAGACUAAUAGAUCGAAAAUUAUUAACAUCGCUCGGUGAUUUACCUGGCUUUGAAAAUUCGAAUUCCUUCGUUAGGAACAUGUCUUCAAUAAAAUUUAUAUUUCGACGCUUUCUUCAUCAUUUAUGCAAUACUCUUAAGGGAAAUGAACUGCAGCGGAGUCACGUCGUCUUACUGAAGAACUAACUACAUCCUUCCAAUAGAAGAGUUUAAGGUAGAAGCGGCCUUAUAAUUUUUUUGAGCUCUUUUUGCGAGGCCUCGUGGAUAAAAUUGCAAAAUUACGUUACACUUUUAUGCAGAAUAUUGCUUAUUUUUCAAAAUAAUUCGCUUCCUUCAUCUAAAGCAUUUACAGUACGAUCUCAUAAUGGGUUUCUGAACUUAAAGAUUUCAUUCUGAUUAAGGAUGCGUAAUUAAGAAUGCUUAUUUAUAUGUUGCCGAUAACGCCUUCACUGUUUUCUAUAAAAAUGUCCGAAUUUCGUCAAAUUCAAUAUGCACAUGGGAAAUCCAAGAAAGCUAAUUUUAGAAUCAACCGCUCGAUUCGGCUUAUAAGAAUAACUAGUUGGUUAUCUGUGGUGGGGAUACUUGUUGAAGGUUAAGUUUCUAUACAAGUUCUGAAAGAUUUGCUGUUUGGCAAUUCGUUUGAAUAAAAAAAAAAUUAUGGAUAGACAUUUGAAAGAGCUUUUUGGUUAUUUAUCGCUAUUCAAAUUAUUUGUUUUUUUCCUGACUGAAAUCUAUUAUAUGAGAUGUGCUGCGGGCGAAUUUGAAAAUCAAAGCACAUUACAUACAAUAUGCAUUUCUGGAAAAGUUUGUAUCAAUGUUUUUUUUUUGCAGUCUUUGAAGUUUUGCUCACGAAGAUAAUAAACUUAUUGGCACGUGAGGUAGAAAGUAUUUAUAGUAAGCUAUAAUUAUUUCAGUCUGCCGUCCAUCGUCUGGCAAUAACAGAACUGUAACAUGAUGAGUUUUGACGUUUGC